rnacentral:rRNA from 1 species
UUUCCUUCGGGAGAGCGAGUACAGUGGCGGACUGGUGAGUAACGCGUAGGUAAUCUACCUUUAAGUGGGGGAUAGCCCUCGGAAACGGGGAUUAAUACCGCAUGUGUUCCUUCGGGAAUAAAGGCGGCCUCUGAUAUAAGCUGUCGCUUAAAGAUGAGUCUGCGUCCUAUUAGCUAGUUGGUGAGGUAACUGCGUACCAAGGCGAUGAUUGGUAGGCGUCCUUAACGGGUGGUCGCCCACACUGGGAUUGAGAUACUGCCCAGACUCCUACGGGAGGCAGCAGUCGAGAAUAGUCUACAAUGGACGAAAGUCUGAUAGUGCAACGCCGCGUGGGUGAAGAAGCAUUUCGGUGUGUAAAACCCUUUUCUUUGUGAGCAAUGCCCUUAUGGUUAAUAGCUAUAGGGGAGAGAUAUUAGCAGAGGAAUAAGCCACGGCUAACUCCGUGCCAGCAGCCGCGGUAAUACGGGGGUGGCAAGCGUUGUCCGGAAUCACUAGGCGUAAAGGGUAAGUAGGCGGAAUGAACAGUCAGGUGUUAAAGGCAUUGGCUCAACCAAUGUACGGCAUUUGAUACUUUCAUUCUAGAAUUUGACAUGGGAAGACAGAAUUCCUGGUGUAGCGGUGGAAUGCGCAGAUAUCAGGAAGAACACCAGUGGCGAAGGCGAUCUUCUAUACCAUUACUGACGCUCAAUUACGAAGGUGUGGGUAUCGAACAGGAUUAGAUACCCUGGUAGUCCACACAGUAAACGAUAUACACUAGGUGUUGGGGGAGAUGAUCCUUCAGUGCCGUAGCUAACGCGUUAAGUGUAUCGCCUGGGGAGUACGAUCGCAAGGUUAAAACUCAAAGGAAUUGACGGGGGCCCGCACAAGCGGUGGAGCAUGUGGUUUAAUUCGAUGCAACGCGAAGAACCUUACCUGGACUUGACAUCCUGAGAAGUUAAUAGAGAUAUAAAUGUGCCCUUCGGGGAACUCAGUGACAGGUGCUGCAUGGCUGUCGUCAGCUCGUGCCGUGAGGUGUUGGGUUAAGUCCCGCAACGAGCGCAACCCCUAUCUUUAGUUGCCAGCGAGUAAUGUCGGGGACUCUAGAGAGACUGCCAGUGUAAUAAACUGGAGGAAGGUGGGGACGACGUCAAGUCAUCAUGGUCCUUAUGUCCAGGGCUACACACGUGCUACAAUGGCCGGUACAGAGGGUCGCAAUACCGCGAGGUGGAGCAAAUCUCAGAAAGCCGGUCUCAGUUCGGAUUGGAGUCUGCAACUCGACUCCAUGAAGUUGGAAUCGCUAGUAAUCGCGUAUCAGCAUGACGCGGUGAAUACGUUCCCGGGCCUUGUACACACCGCCCGUCAAGUCAGCCGAGUUGAUUGCACCCGAAGGAGGU